AAUCCAUGGUGAGGGUAUUCUCUGCGGUAGUCAUUAUAAUGCUUCAUGCUUCGCAAAAAGGCUCAUCAGUGAGCUGUCUGAAAGAGGUAAUCUUGUUCCUCAAUGC
rfam:Brassica oleracea var. oleracea cultivar TO1000 chromosome C8, whole genome shotgun sequence